ACCCCAUGGACCGCAGCACGCCAGGCCUCCCUGUCCAUCACCAUCUCCCAGAGUUCGCCCAAGUUCAUGUCCAUCGAGUCGGUGAUGCCAUCCAAGCAUCUCAUCCUCGGCCGCCCUCUUCUCCUUCUGCCCUGGAUCUUCCCUGGCAGGAAGUGUGGACCCUCUGCUGAUCUGGACCCUCUGCUGCUCUGUGGGACCGCGGCUGCGAGCCCUGCAGGCGAUUCUCCAAUCCUGGUCUGAUAUUUGACUUCAAAGAUGCCUGUUAACACUUUCACUCCACCCUUAGCUUGAACUGCGGGCUUGGUGACCAGCAGGUGAAGAGCAGGAUGACUGGAAAGAGGUGGUCAGCAAGAUAGCUGGUGGGGCAAGUCACAAUGGAUUGGAGUCUGUUUCUUGGCCUGUACAAUGGAG
ensembl:lncRNA